AUGCUACCUACUGCUGUCCUCGGUAACAUUCAAGCAAGCAUAUUUUCUCUACCAGAACUACUGCAGUCUGUAUCACCUACGCAUUUCUCUCGAUUAAUUGGGGUCAGUAAUGUAUGGCUGUAUAACCUGCUUGCAUGUCGCAAAAAGGAAGGUUGGUUGGUUAUUCAGCUGUAUAACCUGUAUCACCUGGAGCUUGCAUGCUCAUCUCCAGUUGCAAGUUGCAACCCCUUUAUACUGUUCAGUAAAUUGAGUUCGUCCCUUUCAAGAAACUACAUAUCGCCAACCUUUGCCAUGAUCAGCUUUCGUGACGACUAA
rnacentral:rRNA from 1 species